AGAGUUUUAGUUAAAUAUAAUAUUUAGGUUGCAUCUAAAAGGUACGUUCUGUAAACUUUA
rnacentral:tRNA from 1 species